GCAUCGAAGUCGCGGUCAGCCUCUGCUCCUCGCCCUCUCUGCCACUGCCGGAGACGCACAGGCAGCGACGUCGCCUCUACCCAUCUUGUCGUCGCUGCUGAGCAGCCGCUGCUGUCGCUGCUCUCCCCGCCGGCUCGCCGUUGAUUGAAUGAGGGAGAUGGAAGGUGGAGAAGUUGAAAGAUGGAGAGUCUCCUCGCUGUUCUGCCCGUCGCGCCACCGCAUCGAAGUCACGGUCAUCCUCUGCUCCUCGCCCUCUCUGCCACUGUUGGAGACGCACAGGCAGCGACGUCACCUCUGCCCGUCUUGUCGUCGCUGCUGAGCAGCCGCUGCUGUCGAUGCUCUCCCCGCCGGCUCGUCGUUGUUCGCCUUCUCCCUCUCUCGGCCCUCUCUCUUUGUUCUUGUUACAAAGUGUGUGUUGUGAGAAGUGAAGGGAUUGAUAUAUUGCACUUGAUAAAAUGAUGGUUUCAGAAGGUAAAAUGAUAAUUGCACUUGAUAAAAUGAUGGUUUCAGGGGAUAAAAUGAUAGUUUUAGGGGAUAAAAGUAAAAGUAUCAUUUUAUCAACUCAGAGUAUCAUUUUAUACGGCAAAACUAUCAUUUUAUCAACUCAGAGUGUCAUUCUAUCUCUGCAAAACUAUCAUUUUAGCAUCACUAAAAUGAAGAACAUGUAUACAACUAUGUAUUGGAUAGCUCAUCAAAUAUACAAAAAAUGAUUUUUUAUGUUUAA